rfam:Oryza rufipogon genomic scaffold, chr06
AAAAAAGGUAAACCUGGAUUUUCGUGUCCAACUUUGACUGUCCGUCUUAUAUAAAAUUUUUUUAUAAUUCGUAUUUUUAUUAUUGUUAGAUGAUAAAAUAUGAUUAAUAUUUUAUACGUGACAUGUCUUUUUAAUUUUUUUCAUAAUUUUUUUAAAUAAAACGAACAAUUAAACAUUGGACACGGAAAUCAGGGUUUAUCUUUUU